rnacentral:rRNA from 1 species
UACGUAGGGUGCGAGCGUUAAUCGGAGUUACUGGGCGUAAAGGGUGCGUAGGCGGCUCUAUAAGUAUGGUGUGAAAUCUCCCGGCUUAACUGGGAGGGUGCGCUAUAGACUGUGGGGCUAGAGUGUGGGAGAGGAAAGUGAAUUCCUGGUGUAGCGGUGAAAUGCGUAGAUAUCUGGAGGAACACCGGUGGCGAAGGCGGCAUCCUGGACCAAUUCUGACGCUGAGUGAGCGAAAGCCAGGGGAGCAAACGGGG